rnacentral:lncRNA from 1 species
AAGGUUGUGUUUUAAUAUUUUUUUCUUGUGUCUGAUGUUAUUAACAUUCCAACAUCUAUUAUUGGUCAAAAUGUAAAUAUUUUGGAAUGAAUCUCAGAUUGAGGUAUUUUUAUAUGUCAAAAUUCAUUCAACUUUUUAUAUGACUUACAAAAUUGAGCUAUUUUUAUAUGUCAAUUUUUUUUCCAACUUUUUUACAUGUUUAAAUUGAAAUCUUUCUUUAGGUCAGCAACCAUCCCAUAUAUAUGUUUGCCUUAUGAAAUUGUUGUUGUAUCAUGCACUCUGAGGGAGUUUUAGGUACACAAGUGUUCGAGGUCCCAAACACAUUCUACAUGUGCUCAUUAAUGAAGAAAGUAUUGUAAUGACACUUGACAUGAUCCCCAGUAAAUGUGACUCAUUAGAUAACUAUUAAAAAAGAUAGAUGAAACACACAAAUUUGAGUGUCAAAAGGCAUCCCUUUGUAAAUUUAUUGUGUAUUUUUAAAAUUAAAGAAAGUGUAUGAGAUCAAACAUCACUCAAACCAUCUCCUUAAACCUAAACCCCAAAAUUCAUACAAAUCAUUCUCUCUCAAAGCACCAUCCACCAACUUUUUCCUCAUUUCAUUUUUUUUCUCUAAACCUUCAAUUCUCUAACAUUCACAAUUCACCUUUAUUCCAAACCUCAAUCACCUCUAUUCCAAACCUCUUCCUUCAUAUUCAAGCUCAACACCACAACAAUUUAGGGUUUGUUUGAUUCAAUUUCAAUUUUUUGUUUUUAAAAACUGUUUUAAAAAUUAGUUUUAAGAAUUGUUUUUAGGAUGAAAACAAAAUAAAAAUUUAUUUGGAAA